rnacentral:lncRNA from 1 species
AACACUAUACUGAGUGAUUGAUUACAGUACUAUCAUCUAAGGGGAAUUGGAGUUCUGCUGGAAAAAAAUACCUUCGUUUGCUUCUCAUGAUUACUAAGUUGUGCCAAAGCAAAAAUCAUUGGGACUGCUUCUUAAAUAUUUGCUUCCUAUGAAACCAGAAAAGACAGCUCAACGGAAAAUGACAGCUGACGCCUAGGAGUUGGUGGCCCAGCGAAGCUCCACGACCACAUGCCCAGCAGAGCGAUGCCCAGCAGUAACCACAACACUGGCGGAGCACUUCCAGACAAGGCACCCUGUCCAUCACUGAGACCAGCUGGGAGUAGAAAUAGCAGAAGCAACAGGAAGACAUCCCUAGAAUUUAGGAGCAGUUCUGCAGCAUGGUUGGAAAUACUAGGGCUAUUCAACAGCCAGAUCCCUCUGUGAUUGGCAAUGAACCUGCUGUUUUUGACAAAGAUGAUGACCCGAACUCGGAGGACACAAAGCUUGGGCGUGAUGCAUCCAACUGUGGGGGCCCUCGUACCACAGGAAACCAAUGCUCUAACCACUGCUCGAGGCUUCUCUGUAGUCUGUGCUCAAAACAACUGGCAGACAUCCCGGCCAUGAGACCUCACUUGGUGACCAGUCCUGGGCCCGGCAUUCCUGCAAUAGCUGACCAAAUAGGAAACUACCCUAACAGUUGUAGUCAUGGAACCAUCUACCUCACAGCAUUGCUGUGGAGAAGGCAGUGAGAGUGCCUUGCACAGAGUAAGUGGGUAGUUAAAACACAUGCAUUGAAUUGAAUCAAAAACACUUUGUAAAAGUGGUAGCAAUAAAAUUAUUAUUUUUAAAAUCCCCA